rnacentral:rRNA from 1 species
GACGAACGCUGGCGGCGUGCUUAACACGUGCAAGUCGAACGGUAAGGCCUUCGGGUACACGAGUGGCGAACGGGUGAGUAACACGUGGGUGAUCUGCCCUGCACUUCGGGAUAAGCCUGGGAAACUGGGUCUAAUACCGGAUAUGACUUCUGGCUUCAUGGUUGGGAGUGGAAAGCUUUUGCGGUGUGGGAUGGGCCCGCGGCCUAUCAGCUUGUUGGUGGGGUAAUGGCCUACCAAGGCGACGACGGGUAGCCGGCCUGAGAGGGUGUCCGGCCACACUGGGACUGAGAUACGGCCCAGACUCCUACGGGAGGCAGCAGUGGGGAAUAUUGCACAAUGGGCGCAAGCCUGAUGCAGCGACGCCGCGUGGGGGAUGACGGCCUUCGGGUUGUAAACCUCUUUCAGUAGGGAUGAAGCGCAAGUGACGGUACCUACAGAAGAAGCACCGGCCAACUACGUGCCAGCAGCCGCCGUAA